CCCCCCCCCCCCCCCCCCCCCCCCCCCCCCCCCCCCCCCCCCCCCCCCCCCCCCCCCCCCCCCCCCCCCCCGCUCCGGGACCCCGCGCUGCCGGGACGCGCUGCCCGCUCCGGGACCCGCUGCCCGCUCCGGGGCGCGCUGCCCGCUCCGGGACCCCGCGCUGCGCGGACAGCGCCCUCCCGCCGCGCUCACCUGCCCGCAGCAGCGCCCGGGUCCCACCGGGCGGCCCUUGGCAGCCGAGCGUGUCCCGGUGCUGCCCCUCGCUCGGCUCUCAGUGACCCUCUGGAGCACGACUGACAUGAGCCACGCUGUGCUCGUCCUGCCUCAACCGGACUGGCUGAAGGGCAGGAUUCAAGAUCUCCCCAGGAGCUUGAAGAGCAGGAGGAAGAUGGUUGUAUGGAAAGGAAGUAAGAGAGGAAGCAGGAACAUGCUCUACCCAGAGUUUCCAGGACCUGGGGAAGACUUCUGUAGGAAUCCUGGAGCAAUAGGACAAUACCAGCCCUCCAGACCAUGGCUGGAAUUCCUGGGACCGAGCAGAGUGAUUCAAGAAGGAGCAGAUGGAAACAGCUGCCAACAGAUGAGUGUUGGAAUGGAUUCAAGCCACACUACUUGCUGGAACUUGAGAGUCUGUGGUGGCCUGAGCUUUCCCAACCACACAUAUCUAAGGUUUGGAACUAGGCAGCUGUCAGUCAGUUCUUAUUUAUGA
rnacentral:lncRNA from 1 species